UCGAGAAUCUUCCGCAAUGGACGAAAGUCUGACGGAGCGACGCCGCGUGCGGGAUGAAGGCCCUUGGGUUGUAAACCGCUGUCAGAGGGGAUGAAAUCUCCGAAGGUACUCCUUCGGAGUUGACAGAGCCUCAAAGGAAGCACGGGCUAAGUACGUGCCAGCAGCCGCGGUAACACGUACUGUGCGAACGUUAUUCGGAAUCACUGGGCUUAAAGGGUGCGUAGGCGGCAGAUCAAGUCAGGUGUGAAAGACCUGAGCUCAACUGAGGUAUAGCGCUUGAAACUGAUUUGCUAGAGUAUCCCAGGGGUGUGCGGAACUGCCAGUGGAGCGGUGAAAUGUGUUGAUAUUGGCAGGAACACCGGAGGCGAAAGCGGCACACUGGGGGAUAACUGACGCUGAGGCACGAAAGCCAGGGGAGCGAACGGG
rnacentral:rRNA from 1 species